rnacentral:rRNA from 1 species
GACGAACCGUGCAAACGUUGUUCGGAAUCACUGGGCUUAAAGGGCGCGUAGGCGGGCUGUCAAGUCAGGGGUGAAAUCUUUCGGCUCAACCGGAAAACUGCCUCUGAUACUGACAGCCUCGAGGGAGGUAGGGGCAUGUGGAACUUCCGGUGGAGCGGUGAAAUGCGUUGAUAUCGGAAGGAACGCCGGUGGCGAAAGCGACGUGCUGGACCUCUUCUGACGCUGAGGCGCGAAAGCCAGGGUAGCGAACGGG